rnacentral:rRNA from 1 species
GAUGAACGCUGGCGGCGUGCCUAAUACAUGCAAGUCGAGCGAAUGGAUUAAGAGCUUGCUCUUAUGAAGUUAGCGGCGGACGGGUGAGUAACACGUGGGUAACCUGCCCAUAAGACUGGGAUAACUCCGGGAAACCGGGGCUAAUACCGGAUAACAUUUUGAACCGCAUGGUUCGACAUUGAAAGGCGGCUUCGGCUGUCACUUAUGGAUGGACCCGCGUCGCAUUAGCUAGUUGGUGAGGUAACGGCUCACCAAGGCAACGAUGCGUAGCCGACCUGAGAGGGUGAUCGGCCACACUGGGACUGAGACACGGCCCAGACUCCUACGGGAGGCAGCAGUAGGGAAUCUUCCGCAAUGGACGAAAGUCUGACGGAGCAACGCCGCGUGAGUGAUGAAGGCUUUCGGGUCGUAAAACUCUGUUGUUAGGGAAGAACAAGUGCCAGUUGAAUAAGCUGGCACCUUGACGGUACCUAACCAGAAAGCCACGGCUAACUUCGUGCCAGCAGCCGCAGUAA